GACGAACGCUGGCGGCGUGCUUAACACAUGCAAGUCGAACGGAAAGGCCCUGCUUUUGUGGGGUGCUCGAGUGGCGAACGGGUGAGUAACACGUGAGUAAACUGCCCUUGACUUUGGGAUAACUUCAGGAAACUGGGGCUAAUACCGGAUAGGAGCUCCUGCUGCAUGGUGGGGGUUGGAAAGUUUCGGCGGUUGGGGAUGGACUCGCGGCUUAUCAGCUUGUUGGUGGGGUAGUGGCUUACCAAGGCUUUGACGGGUAGCCGGCCUGAGAGGGUGACCGGCCACAUUGGGACUGAGAUACGGCCCAGACUCCUACGGGAGGCAGCAGUGGGGAAUAUUGCGCAAUGGGCGGAAGCCUGAUGCAGCAGCGCCGCGUGCGGGAUGACGGCCUUCGGGUUGUAAACCGCUUUCGCCUGUGACGAAGCGUGAGUGACGGUAAUGGGUAAAGAAGCACCGGCUAACUACGUG
rnacentral:rRNA from 1 species